CCUACGGUGGGCUGCAGUCGAGAAUCAUUCACAAUGGGGGAAACCCUGAUGGUGCGACGCCGCGUGGGGGAAUGAAGGUCUUCGGAUUGUAAACCCCUGUCAUGUGGGAGCAAAUUAAAAAGAUAGUACCACAAAAGGGAGAGACGGCUAACUCUGUGCCAGCAGCCGCGGUAAUACAGAGGUCUCAAGCGUUGUGCGGAAUCACUGGGUGUAAGGGGUGCGUAGGCUGUUGCGUAAGUCGUGUGCGAAAGGCGCGGGCUCAACCCGCGGACGGCACAUGAUACUGCGAGACUAGAGUCAUGGAGGGGGAACCGGAAUUCUCGGUGUAGCAGUGAAAUGCGUAGAUAUCGAGAGGAACACUCGUGGCGAAGGCGGGUUCCUGGACAUUAACUGACGCUGAGGCACGAAGGCCAGGGGAGCGAAAGGGAUUAGAUACCCCAGUAGUC
rnacentral:rRNA from 1 species